rnacentral:rRNA from 1 species
GACGAACGCUGGCGGCGUGCUUAGCACAUGCAAGUCGAACGGAAAGGCCCUGCUUUUGUGGGGUGCUCGAGUGGCGAACGGGUGAGUAACACGUGAGUAACCUGCCCUUGACUUUGGGAUAACUUCAGGAAACUGGGGCUAAUACCGGAUAGGAGCUCCUGCUGCAUGGUGGGGGUUGGAAAGUUUCGGCGGUUGGGGAUGGACUCGCGGCUUAUCAGCUUGUUGGUGGGGUAGUGGCUUACCAAGGCUUUGACGGGUAGCCGGCCUGAGAGGGUGACCGGCCACAUUGGGACUGAGAUACGGCCCAGACUCCUACGGGAGGCAGCAGUGGGGAAUAUUGCACAAUGGGCGGAAGCCUGAUGCAGCAACGCCGCGUGCGGGAUGACGGCCUUCGGGUUGUAAACCGCUUUCGCCUGUGACGAAGCGUGAGGGACGGUAAUGGGUAAAGAAGCACCGGCUAACUACGU